GAAAAGUAAAACCUGCGCAAGCUGCUGCAACAUGACCAAGAGCUUUGAGCUCGUUGCAGCAGACUUUGUGCGCAGGUUUCUGCAACUAACGAAGAAAGAAACCAGCUGCAUUUCAUUUCCAAACUCAGAUUGAGGAACUAACCAUGUAACCAACCCAGACCAAACAAACAAAACUCAGCAAAACAUCAUGCAGAAAUUCUGGAAAACAUACGCGCAAAACUGGUUUGACAACCUGAAACAUUCAUUUUCCAGCAAGCAUUAGAUCCUAAAUUAGGAACUCUAGCCCCCAAACAUGCGAACCCAGCAUCAAACUUCAAUCUAAACCAGAGCCUACACUUCUCACUUUGCAUCAUUAAAAUUCUGGAUUUCAAACACAAAAAUUGGAGAAAAAGGGAAGCAAACGUUGGAAUAACAUUCUGAAAAAUUUUCCAGCUUUCAAUUCUCUUCUGCUAUUUACUUUAAAAAAACCGAGACAUGUUUGAAACAAAAACAGUAAAUCUAUGGACUCAUCCAUUAAACCCCCCCCAAUGCCAUGACCUUUAACGCAUGCAGCCAACCUCAAACACAAUCAUCUAUACUCCAAAAGGGCUACUC
rnacentral:lncRNA from 1 species